rnacentral:rRNA from 1 species
UACGAGUGCCCCAAGCGUUAUCCGGAAUCAUUUGGGCGUAAAGGGUGUGUAGGUGGUUAUGUUAGUCUUCUGUCAAAUUCUUCGGCUUAACCGGGGUCCUGCAGAGGAAACGGCAUUACUAGAGGAUGUGAGGGGUGUAUGGAACUCAUGGAGUAGGGGUGAAAUCCGUUGAUAUCAUGGGGAACACCAAAAGCGAAAGCAAUACACUGGCGCAAUCCUGACACUGAAACACGAAAGCGUGGGUAAGCGAACGGGG